UACGUAGGGUGCAAGCGUUAAUCGGAAUUACUGGGCGUAAAGCGUGCGCAGGCGGUUGUGCAAGACAGAUGUGAAAUCCCCGGGCUUAACCUGGGAAUGGCAUUGGUGACUGCACGGCUAGAGUGUGUCAGAGGGGGGUAGAAUUCCACGUGUAGCAGUGAAAUGCGUAGAGAUGUGGAGGAAUACCGAUGGCGAAGGCAGCCCCCUGGGAUAACACUGACGCUCAUGCACGAAAGCGUGGGGAGCAAACAGG
rnacentral:rRNA from 1 species